rnacentral:rRNA from 1 species
AACGAACGCUGGCGGCAGGCCUAACACAUGCAAGUCGAACGCCCGUAGCAAUACGGGAGUGGCAGACGGGUGAGUAACGCGUGGGAACGUGCCCUUCGGUUCGGAAUAACUCAGGGAAACUUGAGCUAAUACCGGAUACGUCCGUAAGGAGAAAGAUUUAUCGCCGAAGGAUCGGCCCGCGUCGGAUUAGCUAGUUGGUGAGGUAACGGCCCACCAAGGCGACGAUCCGUAGCUGGUCUGAGAGGANGAUCAGCCACACUGGGACUGAGACACGGCCCAGACUCCUACGGGAGGCAGCAGUGGGGAAUAUUGGACAAUGGGCGGCAAGCCUGAUCCAGCGAUGCCGCGUGUGUGAAGAAGGCCUGCGGGUUGUAAAGCACUUUC